rnacentral:rRNA from 1 species
GACGUAGGGCGCGAGCGUUGUCCGGAAUCAUUGGGCGUAAAGGGCGCGUAGGUGGCGGGACAAGCGUGCGGUGAAAGCUCGGGGCUCAACCCCGCGUCGGCCGUGCGAACUGUUUUGCUUGAGCACUGUAGAGGCAGGCGGAAUUCCGGGUGUAGCGGUGGAAUGCGUAGAGAUCCGGAAGAACACCGGUGGCGAAGGCGGCCUGCUGGGCAGUAGCUGACACUGAGGCGCGACAGCGUGGGGAGCAAACAGG